rnacentral:rRNA from 1 species
GACGAACGCUGGCGGCGUGCUUAACACAUGCAAGUCGAACGGAAAGGCCCUGCUUUUGUGGGGUGCUCGAGUGGCGAACGGGUGAGUAACACGUGAGUAACCUGCCCUUGACUUUGGGAUAACUUCAGGAAACUGGGGCUAAUACCGGAUAGGAGCUCCUGCUGCAUGGUGGGGGUUGGAAAGUUUCGGCGGUUGGGGAUGGACGCGCGGCUUAUCAGCUUGUUGGUGGGGUAGUGGCUUACCAAGGCUUUGACGGGUAGCCGGCCUGAGAGGGUGACCGGCCACAUUGGGCCUGAGAUACGGCCCAGACUCCUACGGGAGGCAGCAGUGGGGAGCAUUGCACAGUGGGCGGAAGCCUGAUGCAGCAACGCCGCGUGCGGGAUGACGGCCUUCGGGUUGUAAACCGCUUUCGCCUGUGACGAAGCGUGAGUGACGGUAAUGGGUAAAGAAGCACCGGCUAACUACGUG